UACGGAAUGUGCAAACGUUAUUCGGAAUCACUGGGCUUAAAGAGUCCGUAGGCGGCAUGUUAGGUGAGGUGUGAAAUCCCCCGGCUCAACCGAGGAAUUGCGCUUCAUACCGGCGUGCUAGAGGAAGAUAGAGGUGGGCGGAACUGAUGGUGGAGCGGUGAAAUGCGUAGAUAUCGGGAGGAACACCAGUGGCGAAGGCGACUACCUGGCCUGUUCUUGACGCUGAGGCGCGAAAGCUAGGGGAGCAAACGGG
rnacentral:rRNA from 1 species